rnacentral:rRNA from 1 species
UGGGGAAUAUUGCGCAAUGGGCGAAAGCCUGACGCAGCCACGCCGCGUGUGUGAUGAAGGCCUUCGGGUUGUAAAGCACUGUCGAGGGGGAAGAACACAAAUGACGGUACCCCUCAAGAAAGCGCCGGCUAACCCUGUGCCAGCAGCCGCGGUAAUACAGGGGGCGCGAGCGUUGCUCGGAAUCACUGGGCGUAAAGCGUACGCAGGCGGGUCGAUAAGUCCGUUGUGAAAUCCCAGGGCUCAACCCUGGAACCGCGAUGGAGACUGCCGAUCUUGAGUACGGGAGAGGGGAGCGGAAUUCCUGGUGUAGAGGUGAAAUUCGUAGAUAUCAGGAGGAACACCGGUGGCGAAAGCGGCUCCCUGGCCCGAUACUGACGCUCAUGUACGAAAGCGUGGGGAGCAAACAGGAUUAGAUACCCCUGUAGUCC